GUUUCGGAGGGCUCCCCGGUGGGUGAGGCCCUCAAGGAACGACUUGGGUGGGGGCGACUGGUCCGGGGGAGUCCCGUGCGCCCCAAUGAAGCAUGGAACGGGCCUGCUCUCCUUCCAGUUGCCUGAAGCGAGGGAGCCGGGUUCCAGAGCCUCCGGGCGGGAUCUAGGGGCGUCCAGGGGUUGCCACGGAUGGUCUGAGGGCAUCGCAGACAUGGCUCACCUCAGGGGAUUUGCCAACCAGGUGUGAGCUGAGGCUGACGUGAAGUCGAGGAAACCACUCUGACGGCCCGGUGUUCUUCCCUGCUUGGCUCUGUUCUCCUUGAAGGGUUGGCUUGGGCAAGGUUUAGGUGGACUGCUGGGGGCUUGGGAUUGUUGGCACCCUCCGCUGGCCCCUGUGUGCUGAAUCGGGGGGGACUGGGGCGAGGGAGGAGCAGGAGGCCUGUGGGCCCGACUCGGGGAGGAGCCGGAGAACGGCUCAGCUCCAGACCCAGGGGGGCUCCUGUUGAGCAGGACAUCCUGGACCAGCUGUGGCCACAGAUGGGGACCGGGCCUUGCUGACCAGUGCUCAGUGAAGCUAGCAGAUUCUUCGCUUUGACAUUGGUGUCUGGUAAACUGCAUGCCUGUGCUGCUGGGGGAAAAGUCACCCUCCAGCUUGUUUUUGAGAGAGCUAUAGGGUCGAUUUUGUACCCGGGAAGAGAGCCUCACUUGCUUCAGCCUAGUCCUGGCUCUGGUGAGUGACAGAAGCUGCAAAGAAGGCACCUGCAAAGGAAGCGGGGCGCCCACUGAGUGACUCUGUCAAACCCCACCUUGUAAAUCCCACGACUGCUGAUCCCGCCUCCACAGAAUGCCACACGACCACAUGUCAUAGGCUUCGGGAUUUAUUUCCGUACUUGAAACGCAAAGGUGCUGACUAGAAAAAAGAAUUGAGUUGAAAAAAA